rnacentral:snRNA from 1 species
AUACCUUUUUCGGCCUUUUGGUUAAGAUAAGGUAUAAUAUUUGUUCUUAUCAAUUUAAGAUCUGAUAUAUGGACUAUAUGCUUACUUUGAUAUUAAAUUUAUUUUUUAUAGAUAUU